rnacentral:rRNA from 1 species
GAUGAACGCUGGCGGCGUGCCUCAAACAUGCAAGUCGAGCGGGGCUAUGUAAUAUCGCAAGGUAGAACAUAGCCUAGCGGCGAACGGGUGAGUAACACGUGGGUAACCUGCCUGGAAGACAGGGAUAACGAUUCGAAAGGGUCGCUAAUACCUGAUAAUAUCCUUUCAUCGCAUGGUGAUAGGAAGAAAGGGGAAACCCGCUUUCAGAUGGGCCCGCGUCCCAUCAGCUAGUUGGUAAGGUAAAGGCUUACCAAGGCGACGACGGGUAGCCGGUCUGAGAGGAUGUACGGCCACACUGGGACUGAGAUACGGCCCAGACUCCUACGGGAGGCAGCAGUUGGGAAUCUUAGGCAAUGGACGAAAGUCUGACCUAGCGACGCCGCGUGAGGGAAGAAGGCCUUCGGGUUGUAAAACCGUCUGUCAUGGGGGAAGAAGGAAGUGACGGUACCUCCGGAGGAAGCCACGGCUAACUACGUG